rnacentral:rRNA from 1 species
GACGAACGCUGGCGGCGUGCUUAACACAUGCAAGUCGAACGGAAAGGCCCUGCUUUUGUGGGGUGCUCGGGUGGCGAACGGGUGAGUAACACGUGAGUAACCUGCCCUUCACUUUGGGAUAACUUCAGGAAACUGGGGCUAAUACCGGAUAGGAGCUCCUGCUGCAUGGUGGGGGUUGGAAAGUUUCGGCGGUUGGGGAUGGACUCGCGGCUUAUCAGCUUGUUGGUGGGGUAGUGGCUUACCAAGGCUUUGACGGGUAGCCGGCCUGAGAGGGUGACCGGCCACAUUGGGACUGAGAUACGGCCCAGACUCGUACGGGAGGCAGCAGUGGGGAAUAUUGCACAAUGGGCGGGAGCCUGAUGCAGCAACGCCGCGUGCGGGAUGACGGCCUUCGGGUUGUGAACCGCUUCCGCCUGUGACGAAGCGUUAGUGACGGUACUGGGUAAAGAAGCACCGGCUAACUACGUG